rnacentral:rRNA from 1 species
CACGGGUGAGUAACACGUGGGUAACCUUCCCUAGAGCGGGGGAUAACAUUCCGAAAGGAGUGCUAAUACCGCAUAAGACCACCGAAAGAAAAGCAGCACUCUAGGCUGGGCCCGCGGCCCAUCAGCUAGUUGGCAGGGUAACGGCCUACCAAGGCGAAGACGGGUAGCUGGUCUGAGAGGAUGAUCAGCCACACUGGAACUGAGACACGGUCCAGACUCCUACGGGAGGCAGCAGUGGGGAAUCUUGCGCAAUGGGCGAAAGCCUGACGCAGCGACGCCGCGUGGGUGAUGAAGGCCUUCGGGUUGUAAAGCCCUGUGGGGAGAGACGAAUGACGGUAUCUCCUUAGCAAGCACCGGCUAACUCUGUGCCAGCAGCCGCGGUAAGACAGAGGGUGCAACCGUUGUUCGGAAUUACUGGGCGUAAAGCGUGUG